rnacentral:tRNA from 1 species
GGGGUUGUGGCUCAGUGGUAGAGUGUUCACCUAGCAUGUGUGAGGCCCUGGGUUCGAUCCUCAGCACUACA